ensembl:lncRNA
AUGUCCCCAGGGCCAUCUCAAUGUCCCAAAUGUCCCCAGGGUCACACCCUGAUGUCCCAAAUGUCCCCAGUGCCACCCCCAGUGUCCCUGGUGUCACUCACCUGCUGUCCCCUGCUGUCCCCUCCAGUUUCCGCUGCCACCGGAGCCGCCCCGAGGCCACCAGCGCUGGGGACAGAGGGGACACUGGGACAGGGACAGUGGGCACGGCCACCACAGUGUCCCCAGUGUCCUCACAGUGUCCCCACAGUCCCCAAGGUGUCACCAAUCCCUCCUAAGGUGUCCCAAAUGUCCCCAAGGUGUCCCCAAGGUGUUCCAGGAGCAUCCCUACCCCCCCUCAAAGUGUUCCCAACCCCCCAAACCAUUCCCAAUGGCCCAAGGUGUCCCCAACAGGCCCAAAGUGUCCCCCCAAUGUCCCCAAAGUGUCCCAAACUCCUCUCAGGUGUUCCCAGGCAUCCCAAAUCAUCCCCCAACACCUCCAAAUUGUCCCCAAAGUGUCCCCACCACCCCAAUGUCCCCAGGGUGUCCCCAAAAUCCCCCAAAGUGUCCCCAGUCCUCCCCCAAUGCCUCCAAGGUGUCCCCAAACCCCCCAACUGUCCCCAAACUGUGCCCAGAGUGUCCCCAAUCCUGACAAAGUGUCCCCAAGAUGAACCCAGGUGUCCCCAAAGUGUCCCCAGUCCUCCCACAAAGCCUUCAAAGUAUCCCUGCAGUGUCCCUGGAGUGUCCCCAAAGUGUCCCUGGAGUGUCCCUGCAGUGUCCCCAGGUGUGUCCCCAGGUGUGCCCAAUGGCGCCAGGUGUCCCUCCCCUGUCCCAGGUGUGUCCCCAAUGUCCCCAGGUGUGUCCCCAGGUGUCCCUCCCCUGUUCCAGGUGUGUCCCCAAUGUCCCCAGGUGUGUCCCCAAUGUCCCCAGGUGUCCCUCACCUGUCUCUCCUGCUCCCCCCGGCGCAGCCGCAGCUCCAACAGCGACACCUGGCGGGACCCGGCGGCCACUGCAGCACCCAGAGAGCGCACCUGGGACAGGGACACAGGGGGACAAAUGUGACACAGGUGUGACAUCCUUACAGCACCCAGGGACACAAGUGACCCCAGAGGUUCCCCCAGGUGUGGGGUUGGUCCUACCUGUAGGGUCUCACCUGUCCAGGGUGUCACCUGCCCCAGGUGUGGGGUGUCCCUGUGUCCCCUCACCUGUCCCAGGUGUGUCCCCUCCCCUGUCCCAGGUGUGUCCCCUGUGUCCUCCCACCUGUCUCAGGUGUGCUCUCACCUGUCCCUGUGUCCCCUCACCGGUACCAGGUGUGCUCUCCCCUGUCCCCUGACCUGUCCCCUCCCGUGUCCCCUCACCUGUCCCUGCAGCCGCAGCUCCUGGCCCCGUUGCAGGCUCACCUGCAGCAGCAGCUGGAAAACCUUCUGGCGCCAGCGGCCCAGCAGCACCUGGGAGAGAGAGAGAGCUCACCUGGGACCCCAAAUACACCCAGGGCACCCCCAAACACACCUGAGACCCCAAACUCACCUGAGAUCCCAAAUACAUGUGAGAGACCUGAAACUCACCUGAGAGACCCCAAACACACCUGAGAGACCCCAUAAACUCACCUGAGAACCCAAAACUCACCUGGGGCACUCCAAGCUCACCUGAGACACCUCAAACUCACUUGGAGAAC